CCAUUAUAAAAAAAAUUUUAUAAAUUUCGCAUGCUUCAACGAUAAUUGGCAAGUAAAAAAAAAAAAAAUACAAAAAUCAAAAGAAUACAUAUGGUCACCUCACCCACUCAUCAACACAUUCGGGCGCGCGACACUCAAAUCUCUAAACAUUUUCGUUUGUGAAGUGCCUUCAUUGGAGUUGUCAUAGACUGUCGUGCAGGGGCAUCACCACCAACUCCACCAUCACCACUACCAAUACCAACACCACCACCACUACUAUCACUACAGCCACAGCUACAACCACUAAUGCGCUUACAAUCACUUAUUAUACAUAGGUUGCAGGACAUCCUCAUCGACGUAAUUGUAACACAUGUGUGGCAACGCAUAUUCUAAAUUGAUCGAAUUAAAUAAUAAUAAGCAAAUUGAAAGUCUUAUGCGGUUUUGGCAUCAUCGAUUUGCCACAUACAUAGUUUGUUUGUGCAUAAAGUCCACAAGUUAAUUUUGAAGGCAGGAUUUGACAAGGGUAUAAAUCAUAAAUUCACAAGUUGCUCAUUGCACUCAGCGCCCACCACAAUGAGUUUGUGGAAGCGUAUCGCAUGCUUUCCAGAGCUCGAAAAACGCAUGACUCAGUACUAUGAUGGGAAGGGCCUCGCCGAGAUACGCGUGCAAUUCGCAGCAUGGAUUGAAGAUACUUUAAUGAGCCAACAACAACCGCCGGCUAGCGAUAAAAUUUUCGAACAAUUAGUUAACUCAUUCUACGAGGGCCUCAAGCAGAAGCUCAUUACUUUAGAUGGUGAUAAUUUGUUUAAAUUUAAGAUACGGGAAAUUUGCACACAUCUUGGACAAACAACACCCAUUGAGCUCUAUACGUACGUUCGUAACGGUCUGCUCCGUGAAAUUCAGGCAUUGAAGGAAAUGCCACAAAAUCCCUACAUGUAUAAUCCGGCAGUUGUAGGUUGUAAUGGGAUGGGUAUGAAUACGGGUAAUCCCUAUAUGGGUAGCGUCGGCGCUCACCUUGCUGAUGUACGUAUGACCGAGGAUACUUAUGCUUUGCCGGCGCGCAUACAAAAAUUGGCAGUCGAUGUUGACAAUAUGCGUUUGGCCAUACAAGGUUUGCAAGGCGAACAAGAAGCUGUGGUAAAAUAUUUCAAUCAAACGCGUGCAAUGGUGACGCCACAAGAGUUGGAGGAGCUGGAUAAUCAGUAUAAGCAACAAUAUCUGAUUUUGUGCAAUCGCAAGAAUGGUGUAGUUGAUGAUUUACGACGCGUAAUCAGCGAAUAUGACACCAUACAAGAUCAAGUGAUAAUGGCACUGAAAAUGUGGCAACGAAAUCAGGCGCUCGCUGGAAAUGGUGCGCCAUUCCAUGAUAAUUUGGAUGAUAUACAACGCUGCGUAGAGAUGUUGGUCGAUAUGGUCUCCAAAAUUCACGCUUUUGUCAACAAUCUGAUCUUGAUGAGCAUGGGUGAGACUGAGGACCCGAUACUGGCUGAGAUGCUCAACCACGUACGUUCUGUACAAAGGUUACUGGUCUUGUCGGCGUUUAUUGUAGAGCGGCAGCCACCUCAAGUAAUGAAAACACAAACGAGAUUCGCUGCAGCUGUACGAUGGUUAAUUGGCCCACAACUUGGCGUAUAUACGAACACUCCAGUUAUUGAAUGCGUUAUACUUUCAGAGGCCCAAGCACAACGCCAUGCAGCAAAUAACAGUAAUUCUGAUAUGCAACCUGGUUCUCCACCCCAAUCGUCCGGCGAAAUCAUAAAUAACAUAAGCACAAUGGAAUAUCAGCAAGCCACACGCGUAUUUUCAGCAAGUUUUAGAAAUAUGCAAUUAAAGAAAAUUAAGCGCGCCGAAAAGAAAGGAACAGAAAGCGUAAUGGAUGAAAAAUUCUCCCUACUCUUCUACACAACAGUGGUUUUCAAUGAAUUCAAAAUAAGUUGCUGGACACUUUCCUUGCCCGUUGUUGUGAUUGUGCAUGGCAAUCAAGAGCCCCAGUCCUGGGCCACUAUCACUUGGGACAAUGCAUUUUCAGAUAUAACACGCGAACCUUUCCAAGUUCCAGAGAAAGUACGCUGGGCGCAGUUAUCAGCAGCGCUGAAUACCAAAUUUGGCUCGGCUACUGGAAGAAAUUUAACUGAAGACAAUUUAAAUUUCCUUUACGAGAAACUUUUCCGCAACGAAGCCGGCGAGCAUACUGAAUUCAUUACAUGGGCGCAAUUUUGUAAAGAGCCAUUGCCAGACCGAUCUUUUACAUUCUGGGAUUGGUUUUUUGCAAUAAUGAAAUUGACAAAGGAUCAUUUAUUAAAUCUUUGGAAAGAGGGUUUAAUUGUUGGUUUCAUAAAUAAACGCAAGACGUUGGAGGAAAUCCUGCCGAUGCAACAGUAUGGCACAUUUUUAUUGCGCUUUUCAGAUAGCGAACUAGGUGGUAUAACUGUGGCUUUUGUCGACGAUCAGGGCAACAAGCUGAUGCUGGCGCCGUGGACCUCAAGAGACUUGAAUAUACGCUGUUUGGCGGAUCGCAUACACGACUUGAACGUGCUGCGUAUUGUUUAUCCGAAGAAUUUGCCACGCGAUGAGGCAUUCGGCAGCUUUUACUCACAUCAUGUUGAUGAACAAAAAACAACGCGAGAUGGAUAUGUAGCAAGUGAUAUAAGGGUUAAUGUACCGGCCAUAGAGGGUGGCUCUGUAGUGGGUACGCCACAGCAUCAGCCGCAAGAUAUACCUAUGCCAAAUUAUAGUCUUGACGACAUCGAUUGGAGUAACGUUAUGGUCUGAAAUGGGUGGGCUGCAUAAAGGCAAUGUAUAAGUGAUUGGUGUAAUGGUCAAUUGCUUAGUGUGGAGUGCAACAUAUCAUAUGUGCUCAAUACUGUUAAGCAGUGACAAUUUUAUUUCUGAAUUUGAUUCAAUUUUAUAUUGAUGGAUGCGGAUAGACACACACGCGCGCAUGAAAAUAUACACUUAUAUACACCAUAAGAAACUGAGCCAGAAAAAGUACGCAUGGGAAAUAAAUUAUACUAAAAUAUGAACACACAUUUGAUUUUUAUGCCAUCAAAGAGCUAUGAAAAUUAUAAUUGGUUGGAAAAUGCAUUACUUCGUUUCAUAGUCAUGAGUUCACUAGCAGCAAGCAAGUAAUUACAUAUGUAUACAUAAGUAUAGUCAAAUAGCUAUUAGUAAUAACCCGCGCACACCACGCCCAUCACCACAAUCCAACCACACCAAAUAAGUGAGAUAUGCGCAUUAACAAUAUCCUUCGACGUCCAUUACUAGCCAAUACGGCCAAGCGACCAUUUCAAUCACCGACGAUGCUGAGCAUUUUCAGAUAUUGCUGAAUUUCUGGUUUUGCAUAUACGUAGUACGUGCAUGCUGGAAUUUAAGCGGAAUAAUGGAUUAAAAACCACAAAUCCUUCUGGGGACGUAAGGAUAUCCAAUUAUCAUUUCUUGUUACUACAUUAUGCGUCUACUUUCAUGUUGCAAGUCAAUGCUGAAAACACAUAACCUGCAUGCUGUGUCACCUUGAAAUUGUAAUAAGUUUGUAAUCUUAAAAGUGUUUGCCUAGUUUUCUUCUACUACUCUUUCUUACAAACACCCUCGCAAACUUUUAUUCAUGUUUGUGGUUAAUAUGCGCAUAGUUUAAAAGUAAAUGUAAUAUUUUUACACUCGUCGUUGCCUUAUAUAUUUACACUAAAUUUUGUUUGUUUAUAUAUUUUUGAACUGUUUUUAAUAGUGAAAUGAACUAUUCGAUGUAUUGUACUAGUUUAUUAAUGAUACCUGUUGUGUUGUGGUAAACCAAACAAAACUGAAAUAUACAAAUUUAAUUUUUGUUUAAUGCAUGCGAAAAGGGCUUUAUAUUACGUAAAAAAAUAUGUAGACAUUACAUUUAAAUGUUUAAAUAAGUGAAGACUAAAAUAGGUUUAACGUAAGAGCAUAUAAAGUGAAAUUGUGAAGCAAAGAGAUAGAAAAUAAAUAUUAACGGCAAACCAGUCAACGAUAAAUGUUGAAUGUUUCAUGAUAAUUGUGAAUACGUAAUUUAAGUGUAAUUAAUUUAAGCAAUGAAAGUAUGAGUAUACUCACUUAAACGAAAUUUACUAGAGGGCGAAAUAUUCAAGUAUGGUUAUACAAACUUAUUUGAAAUUUAUUUAAAGUGUUUUUUGUUCUUACAAAAUUCUGCGUGGUUGUGCAAAUAAUAUGUGGUCAAAUAAAUAGAGCCAAGAUAAGAAUAAAUUGUGUGGUUCUUUUGAAAUUGAAUAAUCUUUUUUCAAUGCAGCUAAACUUAAACAAUUUUUUUUUAGUUUUUCGCAUAACAGAAAGUAUCACCUGGAACUGGGAGGUCGCCGCUCUAACACAUACCAUACCAGUUGAUGUACUAGCAGGUUUGCUAGAAUGUUUGGCUUUUCACUGCAGCCCAAUUACUGGAAAUUUAUAACAGCAAGGAAUCAAUAUCGACGUCAUAUACUCAACCCCCUCUAAAAAUGUACAAAUUUUACAAAAACUAGUUCCUGACAUAAGCAUCUAUUUUAGGCCUAUCCUUAUGGUUUAAAAUAAUACCAAAGUUGAAGUCGCAGAUGUAUUCAAAUAUCAGAAACAAUUUUUUGUGAGAACUGCAGAUUGAGGGUAUUGAUUAUAAGCCCUCUCUUGGCAAGAGAAACACAUGAGAAAAUCAAAAAAUUUAGGCUCUAUUGAUUGUCCACAUGUGUAUAUGUACUAUACGUACAUAUACAUACUAUUAUUUUCCUUUUACAUUGGAUUUUUUUUCUAGUAUUAUUUACCGGGCAAGUUCGCUAUAUGGUUUUGAGUUUCUGUAGCUAAAAUUUGAAAAAGGUAAUUCACAUUUUUUAAGUGCAGUAUUUUAUUUUUUCAAAAUCUAUUUUUUUUUUUAUGAAAUUCGUAUAUGCCUUUGAUUCGCUUCAAGCUAUAUUAUACUUAAAUUUUUGUGGCAUUCUUCGUGCAUCUCCUUCCCUUUUCAUCAAAUACAAUACUUACUUACAUAUAUUAUAAGCAAACAAAUUUGACAUACUUUUCUUAUGGUAUGUAAGUCUUCGGGGUUUUAAUAUGAAUUCUUAUACAUACAUUAAAAAAAGUGCAUCAAACUUAAUUUAAAUAAGUAUUUAAUAAUAUAAAUAAAAUUUUGAUUAUCAAUUUCUUUCAAAGAGCAGGCGGUGUAUAUUUAACAAAUGUAUAACUAUAUGUAAUUUGGAAAACGUUUAUUGAAGUUGACCGCUCGAACGUAACAUUGAUUUGUGAUUUUUCUUACAAAAUUUUUAGUAAUUGGCUUCCACUUUCGUUUUUCUAUAAUAGUUAUUUAGUAAUAAUUAAAAUAAAUGCAUAUUAAGUUUGUAAAAAGGAAUUAAGAAAUUGCAGUUUGUUGUUGGUUUGGCUUGUGUUGUAAAGAUAAAUAGUUUGUAAGAAGGGAAAUUAAAUACAUUAAAUGUAUUAAAACUCAUCCGAAUUCACGAUUCACAUAUGUAUGUGUGUAUGUAUGCAUAUGGAUGUCAAGUCAAAAGGUAUAUUUUUAGUGUUAGAAAAUAGUUGAAAAAUGAUAUACAUGCAUAAGUAAAUGUACGUUUAAUUUUACAAUAAGCAGCAUUAAUAUUCGCUUAUCUUUAAAUAUGCGGUUAUUUUCUUAAUUUCUAAUCAAAGUUUGUAAACAAUUUUUUGGACCGAGGGUAGUAGUUACUUGCAUAGGGUGCUAUAUUUCUUAAACAAAAAAAAAACUUGUAAAAACUUACUAAAAUAAGGGUAAUCACAAUAUUGUGCGAAAGGCCUGGCAUGCACAUAUUUCGGUGCGUUUGUAAAAUUUAUCUGCAAAGCAAUAUACAUUUUCAUUCUUGUGAAUGUGCAUGAAAUGAGAUUGUGAUUACCCGCAAUACGUACAUAUUUCACAGGGUUAGACCAAAUAAUCACUCGCAAUUUUUCGCAGCACCGCUACAACGCAAUUCUAUUUCUUUUGUAUUUAGGAUGCGAAUAUUAUUGAUGCUAAUUGUAUGCAUACUGAGAGUAUGCACUACUCUUCAAUUGAAAAAUCGCGCAUAGAAAUUUAAAUUUACAAAUUAAAUUUUACCAUACACACUAUGUAUAUUAUAUUCUACAUACAUAUGCAUAUAUAUAAUAAUAAAGCAAAAAUAAAUAUAUAAAUGAAAUUUAUAUGGAGCAUGUUAAAAUUGAAAACUUAUUUAAUUACACUCAAAUUAAAGUCUAGUUUUUAAGCCCACAUAAAAUGUUUACUUGUAUGAUGUUUAUGUGUUUAUAAUAUGUCUGCUAUAAACUGAAUGUUCACAUGUCAGCCAUAUUUACAACCUACUUUGUAUACCUACAUACAUAUGUAUACACAACUCUGAAGAACUACAUAAACUUUUUACUAAAAAAAGCAUAGUUUAAAUUGCGACGCACUGGAUUUGAAGGAGUCUGAUGUUACGACAGCGAAGAGUUCAAAACGUAAUACUACCAGCAGCCUCUUGAACCUAAUUCGUAUAAACUAAAAAAUCGUUGACUGUUCAGCGUAAGCAAUAAAUUUUACACACACACACACACACUUACAAAAUGUACUCGAUAGUACUCGAUCUUUUUUAACAGAAUUUCUAUAUUUCUAUGCAAAAUACCCAAUAUGGAUGUAUUUUUUUAAUCGGAUUUUAUUAGCCACAAACAUACAUACAUAUGUAUAUGCAUGUACUAUUCUCUUUAAUGUACUCGAGCCUUUAACGAUGCAUUCACAAUGCACAUACAUCAACGUUAAAUGUUAAUGAUAAUGAAAUUAAAAUAAAAAGUACAUCGAAGUAAAUUAUACUACAAUUUAUGGAAUAAUGAUGAAGAAAACAUCAUUGCACAAUUGCACACAUGUAGCAUCCUUUUGGUGGCGAAUUAAAUGUAUGUUAUGUAUUGCAAAUUUAUUUACAGCAACACUGAAAAUAAUAAAUGAGUAAAUAAAGCAAAUUUGUGAAACUUA